CCCAGCGGUGGCCGCGCCGUUGCUGCUCUCGGUGGCUCCAGUUCCGUUUCCAGCGGCUGCUGGGACAGGAGGGGACAGAGCGGCUCUGGGAGGUACCGGGGACAGCGGGGACAGCGGGGACAUUGGUGGGGACAUCAAUGGGGACACUGGGGACAGCGGGGACAUUGGGGACAUUGGGGACAUCAAUGGGGACAUUGGGGACAUUAAUGGGGACAUGGGGACACUGGGGAGAUUGGGGACAUUGGGGACAUCGGGGACAUCGGGGGGAUUUGGGGACAUUGGAGACAUUGGGGGACAUUGGGGACAUUGGGGAUAUUGGGGACAUUUGGGAACAUUUUGGGGACAUUUUGGGAGGUUUUUGGGACAUUGGGGACAUUUGGGACAUUACGGGGACAUUGGGGAUAUUGGGGACAUUGGGGGCAUUGGGGACAUUUGGGACACUUUGGGGACAUUUUGGGACAUUUUGGGAGAUUUGGGGACAUUUUGGGGCAUUGGGGACAUUGGGGACAUUUUGGGGAAUUUGGGACAUUGGGACAUCAAUGGGGACAUUUUGGGGUGUCUUUGGGGUGGUUUUGAGGGGAUUUGGGGACAUUUGGGGACAAUUUGGGGACAAUUUGGGGGGAUUGGGGACAUUGGGGACAUUGGAGACAUUUGGGGACAUUUUGGGUGGGUUUGGGGACCUUUUGGGGACAUUUUGGGGACAAUUUUGGGACAUUUGGGGACAUUUGGGACAUUCAGGGCAGCUUUGAGGUGGUUUUGUGGGUAUUUGGGGACUUUUGGGGACAAUUUGGGGACAUUAGGGGUGGCUUUGGGGUGGCUUUAAGGGGAUUUGGGGACAUUUGGGGACAUUUGGGACAUUCGGGGCGGCUUUGAGGUGGUUUUGAGGGGAUUUGGGGACAUUUUUGGGGCCCUUUGGGCGUGUUUGCCCCCAGAGGUGUCCCCAAAAUGUCCCCAACUGUCCCCAAAAUGUCCCCAAAAUGUCCCCAACUGUCCCCAAGUGUCCCCAGAGGUGUCCCCAAAUGUCCCCAAAAUGUCCCCAAAAUGUCCCCAGAAGUGUCCCCAAGUGUCCCCAAUGUCCCCACUGUCCCCAGGUGCUGUGGACGGGGCGACCGUGCCCCAAUUUCCAUCUCCUGGUCACCUGCGCCGCGCUGGAGCUGCUCAGGGACACCUUUGGGGACACCUUUGGGGACACCUUUGGGGACACCUUUGGGGACACUUUUGGGGACAGUGACAGCGACGAGGACACGGACAGCGAGGACAGCGACGGGGACCAGCUGUCCCCGGUGGUGGCAGUUCCGGAGCUGCUGCGUCGCGCUGAGGGACUCCUGCGGGUGGCGGCCACUCGGGUCAGUGACACACAACAAUGUCACCAAAUGUCACCAAUGUCACCAAUGUCACCAAAUGUCCCAAAAUGUCACCAAAUGGCCCCAGAAUGGCCCAAAAUGUCACCAAAAUGGCCCCAAAAUGUCACCAGAAUGUCCCCAGAAUGUCCCCAAAUGGCCCCAAAAUGGCCCAAAUGGCCCCAGAUGUCCCCAAAUGUCCCCAAUGUCACCGAUGUCACCAGAAUGGCCCCAAAUGUCUCCAGGUGUCCCCAAGUGUCAACAAGUGUCACCUGAGUGUCCCCAAUGUCCCCAAUGUCCCCAAUGUCCCCAAAUGUCCCCAAUGCCCCAAUGACCCCAAAUGUCACUGGGUGUCCCCAGAUGUCACCAAUGUCCCCAAAAUGUCCCCAAAUGUCCCCAAAAUGUCCCCUGAGUGUCCCCAGUGUCCCAGACUGGCACCAAAUGACCCCUGGGUGACCCCAAAUGACCCCUGGGUGACCCCAGGCUGACCCCAAAGUGACCCAAGUGACCCCAAAGUGACCCAAGGUGACCCCAAAGUGACCCCUGGAUGACCCCAGUGACCCCUGGGUGACCCAAAUGCCCCAAAAGUGACCUCAAAUGACCCCAAAGUGACCCCUGGGUGACCCUGAUGUGACCCCUGGAUGACCUCAAAGGACCCUGAGUGGCCCCUGGGUGACCUCAGGUGACCCCAGUGACCCCCGAGUGACCCAAAUGCCCCAAAAGUGACCUCAAAUGACCCCGCCCCUCCCCCAGGCGCUGCCCCCGGACCUGCGGGAGCUGCUGGGACUGGGACAGACUGGGACGGACUGGGAGCAACUGGGACAAACUGGGACGGACCAGGAGCAACUGGGACAGACCGGGAGCCAAACUGGGACGGACUGGGAGCAACUGGGAGGGCCCCAACCCCCCCCAGAGCCGCCCCCGGGCACCGCCUGAGCCAAACUGGGACGGACUGGGAUGAACUGGGAGGGACUGGGAGGGACUGGGAGGGAACUGGGUCACACUGAGAGCCAAACUGGGAGCACUGGGACAGACUGGGAGGGACUGGGAGGGACUGGGGCAAACUGGGAACCUGAACUGGGGCGCACUGGGAGCACUGGGAGCCCAAACUGGGAGCACUGGGAGCCCAAACUGGGAGCACUGGGAGCACAAACUGGGAGGGACUGGGAGCCCAAACUGGGAUGAACUGGGAGCCCAAACUGGUUUUUCCUUUCUUUGUUCAUUAAAAGCUUUUGGGAACCGCCGGAUUUGGAAUUUUGGGUUUUUUUGGGGAUAUUUUGGGGUUUUUUGGGGUUUUUUUGGGAAUUUGGGGAUUUUUUUGGGGAAUUUUGAGGGGAAUUUGGGGGAUUUGGGGAAUUUUUGGGUUUUUUGGUUUUUUUGGGAAUUUGGGGGAUUUUUGGGGAAUUUUUGGGGGGAAUUUGGGGGAUUUUUGGGGGAAUUUGGGGGAUUUUGGGAAUUUUUGGGGUUUUUAUGGAUUUUUGGGGUUUCUUAGGGUUUUCUUUGGGAUAUUUUGGAGUUUUUUGGGGGGUUUUGGGAAUUUGGGGAAUUUUUGGGGUUUUUUUGGGAAUUUUGGGGGGGGAUUUUGGGGUUUUGGGGGAUUUUGGGGUUUUUUUUUGAUUUUUGAGGGGGUUGGGGUUUUUGGGGGAGUUUUGGAGGCUUUUGGGGAGUUUUUGGGAAUUUUGGGGGGGUUUUGGAAUUUUGGGGGUUUAUUUGAGUUUUUUUGGGAAUUUUGGGGGGAUUUGGGGUUUUUUGGGAAUUUUGGGCAGUUGGGGUUUUUUGGGUUUUUUUGGGGUUGGUUUUUUGGGUCUUUUUGAAGGUUUCUUUUUGGGGUUUUCUUUUUUGGGGGUUGGGGAUUUUUAGGGAUUUUUUUGGGGGUUCUUUGUGUUUUGGGGAUUUUUUUUGAGUUUUUUUGAUGAUUUGGGAUUUUUAGGGAUUUUUGGGCGGUUUUUUGGUGCUUUUUGGCUGGUUUUGUUUGGGUUUUUUGGAGCUUUCUGGAUUUUUCGGGAUUUUUAGUGUUUGUUUCAACACAUUUGGGAUUUUUUGAGUAUUUCGGGAUUUUUUGGGGGGUUUUGGCUGGUUUUGUUCGGGUUUUUGGGGUUUUUUGGGGAUUUCUGGAUUUUUAGGAUUUUUUUGGGGUUUGCUUCAAGUUUUUGGGGGUUUUUGGAGAUUUUUGGGGAUUUUUUGGGGUUUUGGCUGUUUUUUGGGGGGUUUUUUGGGGUUUUUUUGGGAUUUUUUUUUUUGAUUUCUGGAUUUUUAGGGAUUUUUUCGGGUUUUAACGUUUUUUGGGGUUUUUUUGGAAUUUUUUUGGGAUUUUUCGGUGUUUUGAGGAUUUUUUGGGGGCGCUCCCCUCCCGUAAUUACGGCGGUGCCGCUCCCGUAAUUACCGCAGUAGAGGCGCACAAAUCCCGUAAUGCUCCGAAAAGCGGCACCGCCCGCAAUUAAUCCGCUAAUUAAUCAAUAAUUAAUCCGUUCAUUCAUUAAUGAGCGCGUUAAUUGGCGAUGGGCCCGGGGAUGGACACGCGGACAGCAGUGGAAGUAAUGCGUGAUAAUUAAUUAAUUAAUUGAUUAAUUAAUUAAUAUUGGAAUAUUAGCCCUGUAUGAGCUGCACGUUGUACUCUGUAAUUAAUUAAAUGUAUGGUAAUUAUAUGUAAAUUAUGCGCUGGGUAAGUUUAUUUUAAAUGAAUUUGUUCUGGAAAAAUGUAUUUUAUAUUUCUAUUUUUAAGCCAUAUAUUUUAAUAUUAAUAUAUUUUAAUAGGAGCAUUUUAAUAUUAAUAUAUUUUAUUAGUGAAUUUUAAUAUUAAUGUAUUUAAUAUUCACCUAUUUUAAUAUUCAUAUCUAUUACUAUUAAUAUAUUUUAAUAUUUCUGUGUCUCAGUAUUAAUAUACUUUAUACUAAUCUAUUGC
rnacentral:lncRNA from 1 species